ensembl:lncRNA
GACAUUUAAAAUUCUAGAAAAAUCAAAUAAAGUCAUUGUUAAAGAAAAGAGCCACCCUGAAAGACGUUUAUGAAAUGUUUAUAUUGGAAUUAUGUGUGAGGUGUUUAGUGAUUGUGGUGCUAAUUUGUUGCUUGGUGCUGUACGUUUUGUUAUUCCCAUGAGAAGAUAGCAAUUGUCUGCAGUGCUGAUGUCAUUGAGUUUGCUGAAUUGUUUCACACUGUGCAGCAAUCAUUAGGCAUAGGAGAAUGAGUUUCUUUUCUCACUCAACAUUUUACAGCGAUGUUCAAUGUCAUAUUAAUGGGAAAUCCAACAUAGUAUUGGAGUAGUGGACCAAACUCUGGGGACGCAAGUUCCAGAAUGCAAAGCAGUUAUAUGACGCAGUCGUACUGAAUUACGCCGCAGAUACGGAUCGGCUAGUGAGCAAAUGUAUGAGAUGAUAAGCAUGAUGAAGUUUACGAUGGUAUUAGCAUGAAAGUUGAAGCUAUUGAACUGUAUCUGUUUGAACAGGGUGUAUAAAUAAGGAGGUAAGAGAGCUGGACAGAGCAACGGCUAAACUGCACUGGCGCCACUAUCAACGGGUAGUUGUGGGUUAUUUAGGAACCUGUUAACUAAACAGUGAGAAAAAGCAAAUGUGUCAAUAAAAUAAGUAAACUAAACUACUAAAGAGAUAAACAGUUAAUGUUGGAUGCCACUGAAGAUCAAAUGUCAAGUUCACAUGACUGGCUGUUAAACCGCCCCUAAAUGUACUUGACUGCGUGUGCAUCAUGCCCUGAAAUGGACUGGUACUUGUAGUGAAUGAAUAUGCAUGUCAUUCAGGCUGGAUUUCUGCUUUAGUGUAGGUUUAGGACACUGGAGGACCAUACAGAAACAACAAGGACAAAACACAUUGUUGUGUUAACACUGUUGUGUCUCCUCCUUAGCCGUGAGUCAGAGACAUUCAUCAUGGCAUAAACAUGCCGAGAAUUUUGCCGGUUCCUGAUGAUGAAUCCAAACAUGUCUGUCCUGAGAUUACAGCAGUUCCACUCUAGUUCAGCAAGUCACUGUGACCUCAGUCCAGCAUUUCAGUGGAUCAGAAGGUACAAAACCGGGAUAAACACUUCUGAAUCAAAUAACAAAAAGCAAUUGUCUAAGCUUUUGUAAUUUGUUCGUUCGGCUUUCAUAUUACACCACUAACAGUGUGUACUGUAGUUAAGAUCCUUCCUAAGCUGAGCUGCUGUUGUCUACUUAUGUUCUAUUACAACUAGAUUGCUUCAUUACAGUGGAUUAGCUUCAGGCUAUCAGGUAAACAACAAUAUGAGGCAUGUGUUUGUUUCUCUCUAAAUAUCAAGUCAUGCUAACGUUAGAGAACAAUCCCAUACAAAUGAGAAAGCCCUAGAGCUAAUGCAUAUUCACACAAAAAGAUAAGGCCCUAGGCGCAUAUCUUUUACAUCUUUUAGGUUUGCGAUAGGAGUGCUAUAUCUCUGAGAGAAAGGGACGGAAAACAGACAAACAGAGACUGGGACUGACAUAAAUGGAUGUAAACUGAAAGACAGAGAUAAAGAAAAGUCUCGUGUUUUAUGACCUUAAACUUUAGUAUUAUAAAUACACAACUUCAGUGUGCUAACUACGCAACCUCAUAGGCCUAUCAUCUACACAACUGUGUUGUGUUAUGUUUUUAGAAGUUAUUCCUCGUAGUAAAUCCCAACUCAAAAACAAAUAUUUUUUUAAGCAACACUAACUACUAACACAUUUUGAUUGUAAAACUUGCCCAGGUUAACAAUGGUGUGGAAGAUUGAGCAAGUGCCAGUAUCUAUCUUUAUCUGAGACAUUUUACACAUGAAAAUGAGUUAUUGCACAAGCCUUAGUCAAAGAUCAAAGCAAAAUUAUCUAGUUAAAUUACAACUAGAACAAUGGGAAAUGGCCAACCUUUCUUUCUAUGAGUCACCAAACACACUUCAAUAUGAGUCAAGGACAUCUACUAUGUAUUUUAGACCUGCCCAAUGUAGAUCAACUGUUUUCAGCUAAGCAUUGAAGAAGUUCUUCUGCUAGCACCAAUUACUAAUGACAUACAAUGAUCAGGCCUGGACUGUCAGACCCCCGAGGAGUUGGUGGAGGUGGGGAAUUCUACCCUCUUGAGCCCCAGAGGGUUGGGCAUGAGUCAAGGCUGACUCACUGGGAGAAAUCACGCCGCUGCGGGAGGUUAGAAGUGCCUCUCUCUCUCUCUUUUUUUUCUCCAUUCCUAGAGUCUUACACUCAUGCCCACCAUGGUACAUCACUCUUUAUUUAGAUGCUGAUUCAGGAUCAGCCUGGUGAGCCAAGUUCCAUCAGCUGAGGGGGAUUUUAACCAGUUAGGGUUGUGAGAGCCGUGCUAAACUCCUUCUUUAUCAUGACUUGACUUGCUGUUACUAAUGGAAAGAACAAAAAGACUCAGUCAUAAUUUUAAACCGGAAACUGUUUCCUUGGAUAUAGCUAAUUUUAGCACUCCACUGUGAAGAACAUCUUUAAACACUCUUAAAAUGUGGUCAACUUUGCUGCGAAAGUGCACGAGUAAAAAGCUUUCUGCCGAAUGAGAAAUAUCCAUAUGCCAUGCAGGGGGUCGGCCCAGGCACGUAGGGAGCAAAGUCCUCCUUCAAUGGAUCUAGGUCUGCUUUCCAAAUACCAAAGCCUUGUGUCAUUCCUGCCCUUACAAGCUGAGUGCGUGCCAGCACUUUCAAACAAUAGCAAGGAACGGACACUGCUUGCCAAGGCUCAGGCCUGGUCUGUGCAAUCCAUUUCUUGAUCUCUUUCUUUUUCUCCCUAUGCGCUUGACAUCCAUAAUACAACCUUAAUCUUUCAACUUUCUCCUGAGUCAGCAGUCUGAGAACACCAGUGGCAGUGCCGUGCCUCUGUUGCUCCAGUUCUUUCCUAUAUGUAGAGCACAUUCUGCUGAAAACGCGUUCUCGCAAGCACGUCAUCUUAUUCCUCCUGAAGAAAAGACUGCUACAAAAACAAUAACACACAGCUUUCUGGGCUGUAAAAGGACUGAACAGAGUGAAACUGUACUGCUCCUGCUGCUACCAUUGCAUGAGGCUCAGAAAGAACCACAAUCUCAUUUGAGGAAUCGAAAAGUCCAUCUUCCUGAAUCAAUUUUCUAUCAAAAAGAGCUGCUUUUGUUGGCCAUAAAUGACUUGCUGUUGCCACAGCAGUAGUGGUAAUAAGGUGCAGAAUCCUUCCAUUAUCCCGUGGCUUAAUCCUGCGGUCGGCUCUGGAAAGGCCACCAGGCAGAGAAAGGUCGACUCACAUGCAGGGAAGCGGGAAAGCCGACAUUUCUUAAAAACAUUGGGGUAACGUUAAUCCUUCAGCGCUGAUGAGAAGGACAACACCUCAGUGAAAGGUCACCCUGCAGCGGCUGUAUGAAAUGGAUUCCUGGUGCACUGCUUGCCCAAUUUGGUUGGUUUGUUCGAGCUCAUUCUCUCACUCAUUACCUUCUACCAUUUACAAUCAACACACACACACGCACACACAAACACACACCCUCGCCACUCUCUGCUUAUAAAUCCCUAAACACACCUCCAUCUAGCUCGCAUCACAGAAAAGGUCAACAAGCAAGAGAAAACAUUGACAAGCUUUGAAUGAGACAUUUCCAGCAGCAUAAUGCUGCGUUGUUUGCGUGUGGGUGUUCAGGUGGCGAUGGAGGUCAACGCUGUAUCAAAGAGGGCAUGGAAAACCCUGCUCAUCUAUUCCCAGUGCACAGAAAAUCUUCUGGUCUCUGCAUAUGUGCAUUGAUUAAUUGAGUGUAAGAACACGCGAGAGGAAUGGCAAGAUGAGUUUGAAUAACGAUGAGGAUGUGGAUGAUUGGCUAAAGCUGUAAAAGGCCACAAAUACAGUAAGUAUAAG